UACGUAGGGUGCGAGCGUUAAUCGGAAUUACUGGGCGUAAAGCGUGCGCAGGCGGUUUUGUAAGUCUGACGUGAAAUCCCCGGGCUUAACCUGGGAAUUGCGUUGGAGACUGCAAGGCUGGAGUCUGGCAGAGGGGGGGUAGAAUUCCACGUGUAGCAGUGAAAUGCGUAGAUAUCUGGAGGAACAUCAGUGGCGAAGGCGGCCCUCUGGUCCAGUACUGACACUCAAGUGCGAAAGCGUGGGGAGCAAACAGG
rnacentral:rRNA from 1 species